UUGAAAGUCCUGGAGACUGAAGUUGUCUAUUUAUUCACAAAACAGAUAUAGCACAAGCAAUGGCAGUGCAAAUAAGGUUGCCAGUUAGUGCCAGUUAUGGCUCCUGAAAUAAGCUCCCUGUUAAGAUGUGGUCCAGAUUGUGAAAAAAUUGGGACGCCCACCUAUGUAAAAUGGAAUUUC
rnacentral:sRNA from 1 species